GGCUGAGUUGGACACGUUCUGGAUCCACACGACCUUAGAUGAAGCCAGCUGCAACCCGUAGAGUGGAGUCGUGGAGAGAGCCCCUCGCCCCUCAGCUAAACCAGAGUAAAUGAAGCCAGCACCAACCUGUGGAGUGGAGUCCAGGAGAGAGCAUGCCGCCCCUCAGCUAAACCAGAUCAGAUAAAGCCAACUGGAACCAUAUUUUUACAUAUUUUAUAUUAAAUAUAUUGAAUAAAACUACAUAUGAUAAAGAAAGUGUUAUCUUAUCUUUUUUAUAUGCUAAACUUGAUUAAAUUGGUGAUUACAUGUUGAAGCUGUAGAAGAAUGAAAAAUGUAAGCUAAACAAAAUUGUUUUUAACUACAUAAUUAAAAUUCCUGCCUUUUACACAUGUUCACUUGGCGUUUAUAUAACAUCCAAAU